AUGGAAAUGAGGGUCAAAACCUUAAUGCUGCUGUGGAGAUGUUGGUUCCUACGUGAUGACUGCAUCCAUAGUACAGGGAAGGAGUUAAUCAGCAGAUCAGUACAUUUUUUGGAGCAAUAUGAGGAGGAACUGAACAUCUGCUACAUGGUGCAUUCGUCAGGUCCAAAGGACAAACAUGCCUUGGGGAUUACUGAGGUUGCUUUGGCUGGGAAAGAUCGGUCUGAAGUUGAAGCUAGUGCGGCAAUGCAGCAGGAAAUUGGUUUGGAUCCUGCUUCAGGUGCAGCAAUUCAGUGGAUUCCCCCUAGCGGCGAUACUGUCAAACUGAAUACCGAUGCUUCCUUCUUAGCUGAUAGCGGAGUGUCCCAUGUGGGUGCUGUUGCUCGCGAUCACAGAGGACUUGUUUUCUUCUCGCUGUCCAAAGGAAUCGAUCGCUGCUCUUCAGUGGAGGAAGUUGAGGCUCGGGCUCUGCUCUGUGGUCUGCAGACCUUGGCGGCGCUAUACAGGGGGCCUAUUAUUGCUGAGACUGAUCGGGUUGAAGUUAAGAGUAUGGUAUUGUACUACUGUAUUUUGUAA
rnacentral:rRNA from 1 species